rnacentral:rRNA from 1 species
AUUUGUAGAGGAUGCUUUUGGUGCGGUGCCUUCCGAGUUCCCUGGAACGGGACGCCUUAGAGGGUGAGAGCCCCGUACGGUUGGACGCCUAGCCUCUGUAAAGCUCCUUCAACGAGUCGAGUAGUUUGGGAAUGCUGCUCAAAAUGGGAGGUAAAUUUCUUCUAAAGCUAAAUACCGGCCAGAGACCGAUAGCGCACAAGUAGAGUGAUCGAAAGAUGAAAAGCACUUUGAAAAGAGGGUUAAAUAGCACGUGAAAUUGUUGAAAGGGAAGCGUUUAUGACCAGACUUUUUCCUAGUGGAUCAUCCGGUGUUCUCACCGGUGCACUUCGCUAGGUUUAGGCCAGCAUCGGUUUCCGUAGGGGGAUAAAAGCUUUAGGAAUGUGGCUCUUCGGAGUGUUAUAGCCUAUUGUAUAAUACCCUUAUGGGGACCGAGGUACGCGCUCUGCAAGGAUGCUGGCGUAAUGGUCAUCAACGACCCGUCUUGA